AAGACUAUACUUUCAGGGAUCAUUUCUAUAGUUUGUUACUAAAAUGCACUUAUGCUUUGUCCUUUGAUGUAGU
ensembl:snoRNA LOC120093494 small nucleolar RNA U3